UACGGAGGGUGCAAGCGUUAAUCGGAAUUACUGGGCGUAAAGCGCACGCAGGCGGUUUGAUAAGCCAGUUGUGAAAUCCCCGGGCUCAACCUGGGAACUGCAUCCGAUACUGGCAAGCUUGAGUGCCGGAGAGGAGGGUAGAAUUCCCGGUGUAGCGGUGAAAUGCGUAGAGAUCUGGAGGAAUACCGGUGGCGAAGGCGGCAUCCUGGACGGAGACUGACACUCAGGUGCGAAAGCGUGGGGAGCAAACGGG
rnacentral:rRNA from 1 species